ACAACAGUUGGAAACGACUGCUAAUACCGCAUAAGCCCACAGGUCGGCAUCGACCAGAGGGAAAAGGAGCAAUCCGCUUUGAGAUGGCCUCGCGUCCGAUUAGCUAGUUGGUGAGGUAACGGCCCACCAAGGCGACGAUCGGUAGCCGGACUGAGAGGUUGAACGGCCACAUUGGGACUGAGACACGGCCCAGACUCCUACGGGAGGCAGCAGUGGGGAAUAUUGCACAAUGGGGGAAACCCUGAUGCAGCGACGCCGCGUGGAGGAAGAAGGUCUUCGGAUUGUAAACUCCUGUUGUUGAGGAAGAUAAUGACGGUACUCAACAAGGAAGUGACGGCUAACUACGUGCCAGCAGCCGCGGUAAAACGUAGGUCACAAGCGUUGUCCGGAAUUACUGGGUGUAAAGGGAGCGCAGGCGGGAAGACAAGUUGGAAGUGAAAUCUAUGGGCUCAACCCAUAAACUGCUUUCAAAACUGUUUUUCUUGAGUAGUGCAGAGGUAGGCGGAAUUCCCGGUGUAGCGGUGGAAUGCGUAGAUAUCGGGAGGAACACCAGUGGCGAAGGCGGCCUACUGGGCACCAACUGACGCUGAGGCUCGAAAGUGUGGGUAGCAAACAGGAUUAGAUACCCUGGUAGUCCACACCGUAAACGAUGAUUACUAGGUGUUGGAGGAUUGACCCCUUCAGUGCCG
rnacentral:rRNA from 1 species